UUUGUGUUGGUUUCUGUUGAUGCAGGUGACUGUUUUGAAACCUAACUGCUAACCCACUUAGCGUGUACCUAUGAGGAUUUAUUUUUCCUUGCCUUCUGCUUCUCCUUUGUGUCAAAAUAUCUGUACCAUAGUGACUGUAUUAUGGUUUUGUGGUUCUAAGGACAUUAAGAGCAGCUAGCGUUAUUUCUUGCCUCGUGCCAGCCCUGUGAUUUGAGCCGCUAAGCGCCAGGUGAACUGCAGCAGCUCUUUUGUAAAGGCACUCAUUCUUGAGAAAAGGACACCCACUUACCACAUGCACUGCUCUCAGAUUUUAAUCUAAUACUGAUUUUUACUACUUGAAAUGAAGCAGACAUAAAUUUGUCCAACUUCUGUUUCUAAUCACUGUCCAAUUUCUGUUUCUAAUCACUGAUUACUUGCAUGGUUUUGCUCCUUACUAGUCCACUUAUGUCAGGCCUGGCACUGGGAAUGAGUUCUCUCCACCAUUUUUGGGGUGGCUGUCAGCAGUCUGUCAUGCACAGGUCAGAAACUGCUUUCCCCACUUUUUCACAGUAUCAGCUCUGGAGACUGUGCUAAGCUCUUUCCCAAAUCAUCUAAGUUUUUAUGAUUAACAAAUCUUCUUGCUCGCUGCCUCACUCUACAUACCAUGCCACAAGCAUCAGCAUGGUUUACAGUCUGUCUGUGCUUUCUCCAAUAUGAGCAGCUUCCAUAGAAGUCUUUUAAAAAUUCCCACCGGAGAAGAGACUUCAUUCUCCAUCACCUCCCAGAAUGGCUGGCUAUAUCUGGACAGUGGAAGUGUAAAUGUCACCAUUUGUACAUAGAUAGUAUCUUGGGCAGCUUAAGCUAGUCUUUGCUGCAGCAAGAAACUGGUUUGCCAACCUUGGCUUGUUAAUGUGAUUUGCUAGGCUUGCACCACUGAUAGACAUUAGUGUCCUCCCAUCAGCCUUUGGAAUCUGCAUCACUGCUAUUACAAAAACAGCCCUGCUCAGUGUUAAUGGUGAGAGCAAGCAAGAAAGAAACAGUAGGGGAGCUCAAACGGCUCUGGCUGGAUACUUUCUAUAGAUGAAGAGACGGUUGUCAUUUGGUGAGCUUGAAGUAGCUGCGACAGCAGGAGGGCCCUGCAGUCCCACCAGAAGACCUACAGCUAUGGUGGAAGGAUUGCCCUUAAGAAAUGCCACCUCUUGGGAUUUGUCUCUUCACUGGGGUGGGGGGCAUUGACUGGGACUGGGUGUGUGAUCCUUAUUGCUUGAGAAGAAAGUUGGAACACUGGUGCGGUAAGAAAUAAACAACAGCAGACUCCAUUUUUCCAUCUCUGUUCCAGCGUCUGGGUAAAUGAGUUACUUUCACAUACAUAUUUCAUGGUAUUUGCGACAGCUACUUGUCAAUUGACAGAAGAGCUCUUAGAUGAGUAAAGCCAGCAGAACAAGAGAUGCCUGCUUA
rnacentral:lncRNA from 1 species